rnacentral:lncRNA from 1 species
ACUAUUUAAGGUAAUACGCUCCUGAAUGUGCUAAAAUCAAAUACCGCAGCUGGACCAGAUUAACUCAGGACACCACCAGUGGACUAGAAUUGCAAUGACCCCACACGAUCUUACCUGCUCCUCAGACCACAGCCAAGGAAGAGAUUUCUGACAAACAAGCAAAAACACAACACUGUCCACACAACUGUAAAUAUGCAAGGAAGAGUUUCUUCUUGCCUGAAAACUGCCUUUGGACUUGGACUAGAAUUUCACCACUGGGGCUCUUGGAUCUCGAGUCUGUAGAGGGCAGAUCGUGGGAUUUUUCAGCCUCCAAAAUCAUGUGAGCCAAUUCCUCAUAAUAAAUCUCCUUCUAUAUCU